rnacentral:rRNA from 1 species
AUACGGAGGGUGCAAGCGUUACUCGGAAUCACUGGGCGUAAAGCGCGCGCAGGCGGCUUGAUAAGUUGGAUGUGAAAGCCUACGGCUCAACCGUAGAACUGCAUCCAAAACUGUCAAGCUAGAGUCUGGGAGGGGAAGAUGGAAUUAGUUGUGUAGGGGUAAAAUCCGUAGAGAUAACUAGGAAUACCAAAAGCGAAGGCAAUCUUCUGGAACACUACUGACGCUGAGGCGCGAAAGCGUGGGGAGCAAACAGGAUUAGAAACCCGGGUAGUCC